ACAGCAGUCGCCGCGGGAAUACGAAGGGUGCAAGCGUUAAUCGGAAUUACUGGGCGUAAAGCGUGCGUAGGCGGUGAGUUAAGUCUGCUGUGAAAUCCCCGGGCUCAACCUGGGAAUGGCAGUGGAUACUGGCUCGCUAGAGUGUGUCGGAGGAUGGUGGAAUUCCCGGUGUAGCGGUGAAAUGCGUAGAGAUCGGGAGGAACAUCAGUGGCGAAGGCGGCCAUCUGGGACAACACUGACGCUGAGGCACGAAAGCGUGGGGAGCAAACAGGAUUAGAGACCCCGGUAGUCCCUGUCUCUUAUAC
rnacentral:rRNA from 1 species